GAGAAACCCUGUCUCGAAAAAACAAACAAAAAAAAAAAAAGAAAGAAAGAAAAAAGAAAAAAACAAGAAGAGCUUAAGGGUUUUCAUCCUCCUUGCACUGAUUUUGCUCCCCCACCUACAGUUCCAAUUUCCUCUGCUCCUAAACCCUAUUCAUCAAGUGCAGUUCCGAUAGCAUGGAAACUUUACCCCUGCUGCCUUGCUUCAUUUCUUUCUGAGGUUGUUGGGAAGGUUCCUUACCCUCCAUAAGAGAAUUAACUCCUUUUAAGUCACGGUACAGGUCUUCCAGCCAAUAGACUGUAUUAGUCCAAUAGAAGGGAAAAGACGUGGAAGGAUUUACUCUUUUACAGGCAGCCAACUGCCUGAUGGUUGAGAGAGAGAGGACUGCCUGCUGUGCAUACCUAAAUGACUCAACCUGUGGAGGCUGGACAAAGAGGUUCCAAAGCGUCUGCAGAGGCUACAACUGAAGAAAGGAAGAGAACAGGGCGACAUAAUUGUCAAACAAUGAAGAACAGAGUCUGCCUACCAACAACAACCCAGAUGAAGAAUCAACUGAGGGAAAAAACUUGGUGUGAUCUCAGGGGAAGGGUGUGACUGCAGAAUUGCUGUUUUUGCUAUGUUGUCUCUGUUGAAUGCAUCUGUUACUGCUGAGACAUAUUGGAUGUGUAUGUACCUGAUCCCUGUGCUUCACUUUUUUUUGUUUUGUUUUGUUUUUUUCCAGACAGGGUUUCUCUGUGGCUUUGGAGGCUGUCCUGGAACUCGCUUGGUAGUCCAGGCUGGUCUCGACUCGAACUCACAGAGAUCCUCCUGCCUCUGCCUCCCGAGUGCUGGGGUUAAAGGCAUGGGCCACCAACGCCCAGGUAUAUGCUUCACUUUGUUAACUGGGGAGAGAAAAACAUUUCUGUUUAUGUCAAUGACUUUGAGAUUUAGGUGCUCCCACUGCUAAUCAUAUUGUUCCCCAAGCAGAGACAGUCAUAUGAUAAUUUAAGUAUUGAUGUUCAUGCCUUGCAUGAUGAAAUAUUAACCAUUCAACAUUCAAAGUUAGGUAAGUUACCCUCUUCUAUUGCUGCACAGAACCUGGAAGAUAAUUUUGAUCAUUAUUUUUCUGUCUCUAAUUGAACUUCUAAACUAUGUUCCAUAGGAAUGUCACUGGAAAGCUUUUCUCUGGUUACACUGCCUUAAAACUUAUUUGCUACACCAUGUCUGCUUUAAAAAUUGAUUUGCAGCCGGGACGGUGGUGGCACAUGUCUUUAAUCCCAACACUCGGGAGGCUGAGGCAGGCGGAUCUCUGUGAGUUUGACGCCAGCCUGGUCUACAGAGUGGGUUCCAGGACAGCCUCCAAAACAAUACAGAGAAACCCUGUCUCAAAAAACCAAGAAAAAAAAUUGAUUUACAAACCCUAAACUUGAAAAACAAAAAAAAGAGGGAAUUGCAGGGAACCAUGGAGUUGGCCUGGCCUAGCUUGAGAGGCAUGUGUCUUAUGUUUUUCAGGUUAGAGUCCAUGGCUCCUAGGGCACAAUGUGCCUUCCAGUUUCUAAGAGACUGAUGAACCCCAUACAGUGAAAUGUUCAGGUCAUUUUGAGUUGGUUUCACUGUGUGUUCCCUUAGUAAUCAAGCAAGGGUGAAAGCUUGACUGGACAAUUGGACUUAGUCAUUACUCUUGUGUACUCUGUAUGGCUUGCAAACUUCAUUGUAUCCUGGUAACUACAACUAUAUUGAUCCUUACAAUUGCUAUUAUACUCUGUUUCUGAUAAAGAUA